rnacentral:rRNA from 1 species
AUUGUACGCUGGCGGCAGGCUUAACACAUGCAAGUCGAACGAGUGGCGGACGGGUGAGUAAUGCUUGGGAAUCUAGCUUAUGGAGGGGGAUAACUACGGGAAACUGUAGCUAAUACCGCGUACCAUAGGAUGAGCCCAAGUGGGAUUAGCUAGUUGGAGGGGUAACGGCCCACCAAGGCGAUGAUCAGUAGCCGGUCUGAGAGGAUGACCAGCCACACUGGAACUGAGACACGGUCCAGACUCCUACGGGAGGCAGCAGUGGGGAAUAUUGCACAAUGGGCGCAAGCCUGAUGCAGCCAUGCCGCGUGUGUGAAGAAGGCCUUCGGGUUGUAAAGCACUUUCAGCGGGGAGGCGUUACCCGCAGAAGAAGCACCGGCUAACUCCGUGCCAGCAGCCGCGGUAAUAC